CCCUCUGAGCAGAAGCUGGUCAAAGAUCAAGACCACCCCCCAGCUAGCAGGAAAGCUGGGACAAAGUAGGGAGCUAAUGUCUUCUAUGGAGCUGGGCACUAUGCUAAGAGCUCUCCUCUCGAUUACUUGAUGAAGUAGGUAGUAAAUCCCCAUAUUAAAGAUGAGGACACAGGGCUGUUAAGUCACCUGACCCAAGGUCACAGAGCUAAUGAGAGGCUGAGCCACACCAUUCACAGUCUAAUAAGAGGUAGCCCACACUACCCACAGCCCUGCUUGGCACUGGGGGACAGCUUUAGGUAGAGGGGGAUGGGGAGGGUACCAUUUGUUCCCUCCUCCCACACUUGAAGGUAGAAUCCCAUGCCAUAUCCCAGGCAUUGAAAGUUCCUGGCAUUGGAAAAAUAGCCCUGGAGCAAGGCAGGUGGUGGCUCCCAGUUCUGCCUGUUCUGCCUGCUACUGUCCCUGGGAAUAUUUUUUUCCACUUUCAACAAACCAGGCACUGAAUCAGCCUCAGGCCAUUGUGGCUCCCUACAUUGGGAGGGUUGAGGGGUAGGAGAGAGAUAGGUCAAGAAGUGACAACCCAUUCACUUCCUCCCAGGCACUGUAGACCUGAGAGCUGUGUUCCAUCAGUCAGGAGCACUCCCCCGCCCCCCAUUUAGAAUGCAGGAAUCUAGUGAACAAAGAGGUCUCCAGGGGUGGAAGGAAAGAGGAGGGGAGCAGGGCAACUUUCCCACCCUCCACCCUCGGCUGUCCAAGAGGAAGAAAGGCAAGGGCAAAGGGAAGGACAGCCAGCUUCACUGGGGGCAGAAAAGAGAUCCAAAGCCAGCAGCCCGAGGCCUUCUUCCCAGCACCACCACCGAUGGUGUGAUUUACAGUUACUUAGUCUCUGAGCCUCAGUUUACUCAUCUGUAAAACUGGAGGAAACAAACCAUGGAUUCGUCUGCCUCAGCUUCCCAAGGCUCAGAAGACCCACAGGAAGAAGAUGGUUGCUCUCUAGCCCUUUUCCAAGAAGCAGGAAACCUCUGCAUUCCUGGGACUCACGACUCUGUCUGGCAGAAGGCAGUGGGUGGCCAGACCUAAAGCAUCCAUCCUGCCUGCCCUUGGACACUGCAGGACAUGAAGCCACAUGAGACUCACCACUGCUGACCCCACAGGGAGACAGAGAGCUGGGGCAGGACAAUGCCCGAGGUGACCCCUACCCCACCUAAGGGGGCUGCGUGAAAGAACAAUGGGGAGGUGGACUCUAGGGGAAGGCACUUGUCCUCUGCGGCCCUUUUGACUUCCAGCACGCUUCUUUCAUACCCUACCCUCAGCUGUUAUUACAAAACACAUGAGCUUAGGGAGAAAGUCUUCACUAGAAUGCCAGCCUAAACCAACCCAAUCAGGCAGGUAAAACUUCUGGAAAAAAUAACAGUAGUGAUGUUUGGAUUCCAAGCGCUGUUUCUACCCCUCCCUACCUGGUAGGAUACAUGGAGAAAUGCAGAGCUCAGCUAAAACCAAGGUAGCAGGGUUGCCCACUUCAAAGUCAGCAUACCCCAGUAGGAGAGCCUGGGGUGAAAGGCUGCAGGCGGAUGGGCAUCCAGCUCCGAUAAGGCAGAGGAAGGGUAGGACUGUGUCUGGGGCCUGCUGACUGUUCCCUCACCCCAGAGGCCACAGGGAUAAUCUGCUCACAGAGCCCUCUGGCCUCAGACAUUUAGUUUCCACCCUAAGCCCCUCGGGUAGAGGACAAGGAGCCAGCGCCAGCCUCAUCCAGAGCCAAGCAUGUGGCCAGGGGCCAGCGUAGGCCAACACCCUGAUGUCCGCAGCUCCAGCUGUUGCCCCUCUGCAGAGCUUUCACCGGAGGCAGCCCCUUCCACGCCAUCAGCAUCUUUCCUCCUGUCAUGGGGUGAAUGUGUCCCUCCAAAACUUCUGUGUUGAAGUUGUAGUCCCCACAGUACCUCACAGUGACUGUAUCUGGAGACAGACCUUCAAAAUAGGGAUUGAGGUAAAAGUUGAGUGUGUCCUAACCUAAUCUGACUGGUAUCUUCAAAGAGGAAAUUUGGACACAAAGAGACAUCAAGGCUGCUCUGGCACAGAGAGAUGAAGAUGACCAUAUGAAGAGGCAGCAAAGUGGCUGUCACCUGCAAAGGUCAAGGAGGGAGGACUUAGAAAAAAGCCAACCCGGCUGGCACUUUGACCUUAAACUUCUGGCCUCCAAAAUGGUGAGAAAAUAAAUUUCUGCUGUUUAUGCCACUCAGUCAGAGGUGUGCUAUUAUGGCAGCCCUGAAUUCUCUGGGGGAUCAUGAGGAAGGGUCAGGGGUCCUCCUCCUCACACACUCCUAGAUGAGCUUCACAUUGAGAUAGUGUUCCAGGAGCCACCAUAGCCCAGCUCAGCCUGCCUCUCAGCUCAGCUCCCCAGCGGCUACAGCUUCCUCUAGAAAGCUCCAUCUGCCCGAAGGCCAAUCGGUGAGCCCAAGGCAGGACCAUGUAGGUGCUGGGGACCCAGUGGGAGUUGCUGUGAUACCAGGCAAGAGAAGGGAACGGGAGAGUGGGUAGGCAGUGAAGCAGGGGACAGAGAAAUGGCGAAUAACAGGCUACAGUGCAGAGGAUCAGGGUACCUUCCCAUCCCCCAGCCACAGAAUUACUGUAGGCCUCAGUUUCCCCUCUAUGCUCAGACACCCCCUCUUAAGAGCCUAGAGAGAGACAAGGGUCUUAAAGUAUGGCUAAAUGGGUGGAAUGGGGGAAAUUCUACUAAUCAUAAUAAAUAACUUUGCCUAAGUGA